UAUCAGUUCAGAAUCUGGUUCAUAAUUGGCUUGCAAUAAUUUUUGUGAAUGCCACAACCUGUAAUCCUACCACCCUGGCCUGAGUAACAGUCACCUCUUACCUGGAUUACUGCAGUACCUUUCUAAUUGGUCUUCUUGCUUUUUUUCCUCUUUGUGCCACCCUUUUUAGUUUCCUAACAAAGCAGCAAGAGUAGUCCUUAAAACAUAAGUCACAGAGACCAUCCUGGGCCACAUGGCGAAGCCCCAUCUCUACAAGAAAGACAAAAAUUAGCUGGGCAUGUUGGUGUACGCCUGUAGUUCCGGCUGCUCAGGAGACCGAGACAAAGCUGAAGAAGCCAGCAACCUGAAAACACCAAUGGGUACAGACGGAAGAACCUGCUCGCUCUAGCCAGAGAAGUAUGAGGACUUGAAGGAUGAGAAAACGGAUUCAGAUUAGGUUUCGCGUGGCAUGCCUGAGGAUCGAGCCAGUUUAGUGGCAAAACUGGAGCAGAAACCAUUCUCCUGAAAACAAACUAAGCAUUAUGCCUUCUUCGUCAGCCAGCUCUGUUAAGUCUUCCUAACCGCUGAGGUUCAGCUAAUCAUUAUUGUUUCCACGAAGUCUUCCCUUACCCUCAAGUAGAUGAACUCCUCCUACCAGAGUGUUUAGUUCAUGAGUGCAUCUCACAGAAACUUUGUUUCUUCAAGACAGUGUUGCCCAGCUUGAGUGCAGUGGUGAAUCAUAGCUCACUGCAACCUUGAACUUGGGCUCAAGCAAUCCUCCUGCCUCAGCUUCCUGAGUGUGACACUACCUCAGGCUAAAAAAAUUUUUUUUGACAGUACUUUCUUCCCCAGUUAUUCUAUUGGAGAAUCUCAAGCCCCAGAUAGAGGAAUGUAUGUCCCGGUCCCUGAGCUCUUUCUGCAUAUGAGGGUAAAAUGUAAAAAAUGAUAGCUACUGCAUUUCAGUCUUUCAUAAAAUAUCAGCAAUUUUUGUUGGUGUAGUCAUUUUCUUCUGAAGUUGCAAUUCUCCUAAAGUUGUGUCUUUAUUACAAAAUCCAAUGAAUACUUUCCUGUUUUUAACCUU